UACGUAGGUGGCAAGCGUUGUCCGGAAUUAUUGGGCGUAAAGCGCUCGCAGGCGGUCUUUUAAGUCUGAUGUGAAAUCUCGUGGCUUAACCACGAACGGUCAUUGGAAACUGGAGGACUUGAGUACAGAAGAGGAGAGUGGAAUUCCACGUGUAGCGGUGAAAUGCGUAGAGAUGUGGAGGAACACCGGUGGCGAAGGCGGGUCUCUGGGCCGAUACUGACGCUGAGGAGCGAAAGCGUGGGGAGCGAACAGG
rnacentral:rRNA from 1 species